UACGAGGGGGGCAAAUGUUGUUCGGAAUCACUGGGCGUAAAGGGAGCGUAGGCGGGUUUUUAAGUCAGGCGUUUAAUCCCGGGGCCCAACCCCGGACAGGCACUUGAAACUGGGAAUCUUGAAUAGUGGAGAGGUCAGUGGAAUUGGGGGUGUAGCGGUGGAAUGCGUAGAGAUCCCCAAGAACACCCGUUGCGAAGGCGGCUGACUGGACACAUAUUGACGCUGAGGCUCGAAAGCAUGGGGAGCAAACAGG
rnacentral:rRNA from 1 species